rnacentral:rRNA from 1 species
GAUGAACGCUGGCGGCGUGCCUAAUACAUGCAAGUCGAGCGAACAGACGAGGAGCUUGCUCCUCUGACGUUAGCGGCGGACGGGUGAGUAACACGUGGAUAACCUACCUAUAAGACUGGGAUAACUUCGGGAAACCGGAGCUAAUACCGGAUAAUAUAUUUAACCGCAUGGUUCAAUAGUGAAAGACGGUUUUGCUGUCACUUAUAGAUGGAUCCGCGCCGCAUUAUCUAUUUGGUAAGGUAACGGCUUACCAAGGCAACGAUGCGUAGCCGACCUGAGAGGGUGAUCGGCCACACUGGAACUGAGACACGGUCCAGACUCCUACGGGAGGCAGCAGUAGGGAAUCUUCCGCAAAGGGCGAAAGCCUGACGGAGCAAAGCCGCGUGAGUGAUGAAGGUCUUCGGAUCGGAAAACUCUGUUAUUAGGGAAGAACAAAUGUGUAAGUAACUAUGCACGUAUUGACGGUACCUAAUCAGAAAGCCACGGCUAACUACGUG